UUAUUACUCCCUCCGUUCUGAAUUACUUGUCGCAGGUAUGGAUGUAUCUAGAUGUAUUUUAGUUCUAGAUACAUCCAUUUCUGCGACAAGUAAUUUAGAACGGAGAGAGUAUGUG
rnacentral:pre_miRNA from 1 species